rnacentral:rRNA from 1 species
GCCUACGGGACGCAGCAGUGGGGAAUAUUGCACAAUGGGGGAAACCCUGAUGCAGCGACGCCGCGUGGAGGAAGAAGGUCUUCGGAUUGUAAACUCCUGUCCUUGGGGACGAUAAUGACGGUACCCAAGGAGGAAGCACCGGCUAACUACGUGCCAGCAGCCGCGGUAAAACGUAGGGUGCAAGCGUUGUCCGGAAUUACUGGGUUUAAAGGGUGCGCAGGCGGAUUUUUAAGUCAGCGGUCAAAUCGUGGGGCUCAACCCCAUCCAUCCGUUGAAACUGGGGAUCUAGAGUGUGCGAGAGGUAU